rfam:Leersia perrieri chromosome 7, whole genome shotgun sequence.
AAUGUCUGUCGCCAUUGACUUUUUAACACAAAUUUGACCGUUCGUCUUAUUCAAAAAAUUUAUGUAAUUAUUAAUUUUUCCCUAUCAUUUGAUUCAUUAUUAAAUAUAGUUUUAUGCAUACAUUUAGUUUUACAUAUUUUACAAAAGUUUUUGAAUAAGACGAACGGUCAAACUUGUGUCAAAAAGUCAACGGUGACAAACAUU